UUUCAUAGAACAAUGUUUGAUGCACUAUAUUCUGAGUGUGGAUUGAGUUGUAUGAACUGUCUUACUGUACUAAUAAUUGUACCAGACUGUAUCUUCCUCUGCAGAAGCAGAUAGCUGUACUAGUAGAACUGUCCUAGUCAGAGUGAAGCGGUUGACACUGUACACUGUGCCGGGGGGUUUUAACAAGUGUGUUAUGUAUUAUGAGGUUUUCUUUAUAUUGAGAAGUGCUGAGCUGAUGUGAUGCUCCAGGGAGAGCCGAGUGUUAGGAGUUCCAGGGAGUGAACGCAUUGGGCCCAAUAAACUGUAAGUGGGGUUACGUAAGAGGCGUGUUGAAGUGUGAAGUAAUUUGGGGUGCAAGUCUUGUAUGUGUAACGGGUAUGGAAAGUGUAGAAUUACACAAAAGGAACUGUAUACCUGAUGUAGCUGUCUAUUUGUUUGAGUACUUUCCCUUUUAAUUGUCAUGAUGUUAUUGGUCUGUGUAAUUUCCUGUUUUGGCUCCUCCUCUUCCCUUUCGCAUUAUGAUUGAAUGGGAGUGGUAGGUUUAAUUUUGAGUUCAGUAAUCUUGUUUCAUCUUUAUUUAAAUCAUCAUUUAUAUACCUGCAUACCCAUUUUAAUUUGUGUGCAUAAUGCUAUUUUAUUUAUCUGUGUGAUAUUUUGUUUUUACCCGUCUUUUUGAGUUUUUUUUUUUUUUUAAAGGUUUUAAAGGUUUAAAGUUUAAAGGUGAUUCACUCAGGGAGACUGCUUGUUUGUGCCAUCAGAAUAAAUGAAGACUUGACCCAGUUGCCAUCCAAAAAUUUUUCUUUGGAUAAAAUUAAACACACAACGUACACUACAACCAGUUACAUAUGUCUAAAUGUUAUUUGUGCUGAAUGCUGUUUUAAUGUGCUGAUUGGUGUUUGAAUGUUUUAUACGUGCGAAUAUUUAAGUAUUUUUUUCUUUUCUGGAGUCGAUUCUUGUUUUACUAUUUUAUUUUUUACAUGAUUAUUUUUGUUGAGUGAUUGAUCCUAGUUUGGGGGCUGUAUGGUCGUUGUCUUAUUUUCUUGAGUGAGUUUCUGGCCAGCUGGCCACGUGACUCUGAUCCAUCCACGGCUCUCUGUAGGCGUGAUCUGUAUCAUUUACCACUGACCUGUGGAAUCGUAAAACUCCACAUUGAUCUGAACAGGAGAACACUCCAAAUCUGAGUCAGUGGGUCUGAUUUCUUCAUUUUUGAGUGACUUUCUCCUGUGGUAAGGAUUGCAGUGUCGUGGGGUUUGAUGCUGCAGCGGUGUACGGUUGUUAGAGACUCCCCUGUGAGUGGGUGCUGGAAAUGAGUGGGGUGUCCAUGCCAGGGGAGAUUCCACUUGGGUGAGGAAAAAUUAGUUUUGAAUUAAUCUGAUAGGUUGCUUUUACAGCUAUCUUAUUUUAAUGCAGUCUCUUACUCUGAAACAGCUAGAGUUUAUUGUGCAUCAAGACAAACUGGAUCUCAUUAUGCAUACUGUAGUGUUAAAGAUCAUUACAGUCAAAUGGAACCUGUAUGGCAGGUAAAUGCACCCUUCCACAUUUUUAUGAUUUAUAGGCAAAGCAUUAAUUAACAAUUAAAUAAGUAUUAAUUAAGCUUGGAUCUAAAAUUGAUUGUCCAUAAACUCGGUGCAUGGAUUCUCCUACUGCUCAAUUUUUUUAUUUAUCGUUUCCUGGACCACAGUUGACAUAUCUGUCUCCGUGUCAUCAGAGGAGGACAAACGCUAUGUUUUCCCUCAGGACUGGUGGCGUGUCUUUGUGGUAAUGAUGGCAUUAGGGCUGACGGUGCUGGAGGUAUACAGGGAGGUGAUGUAGAUUCUACGCUCUGUUAGAAAGCUAAAAGAUUGGCAGCAGUGGUGUGAUCAGAGACUCAAUGAGGAUCUGGCUUGCACACAUCCCAUGUGGCCAGAGGAACGUCACUACAUCAAGGGUCAGAUUAAGUUCAUCUGGAACAUGAAGGGAAGCUACUCGCAGGACCCCUGGAAUAUAUUUGAUUGGCUUGUGUAUGCAUUGCUGAUAGCAGUUUUGGGUCUUCACUUGGCUGAUGUUUACCUCGUCUGUCAGACACUGAAUGUAUAGCCUCCGCAUCUUCGCUGUGGCCGUCAUCUUCCUCUGGCUCAGGCUGAUGAAGCAUGUCAGAGCAUUUAGGUAAUAGGUAUCACCUUUAUGUGCUUGCCUUAAUUUCUGUAAUUGACAUUAAAAAUCAUUAAAAAUGUUGCUACUACUACUACUAAUAAUUUAUAUUCAAGAGAUUAUGGCCAGAUAAUUUUGAAUUGGAGGAAUAAAAAUUGACUUUGUAAAGAUAAAGAUGAUUCGUUUCCCUCUUACAUGACAUACAUUUCUAAUUAGCAUUGACACCUGUGUACAUACAGUAAAAUGUCUCCAGAAAGUAUUCAACAGAUAAUUGAUAAGUAUUGAAUGCUUAUCAAUUGAUAGACGAUUAAUAAGAAUUCACCCCUCCCCCUCACCUUUCUUUCAGCAAUCUAAAUUAGGACUAGUAUUUAAUUUUCUUGAGAGCUCAUGCUAAAUAUGUUAAACAUGGUAGAUCUAUGUUCAUUAUAAAUCCAUUGUGUCCGAUUGUAUGGUUGCACAAUAAAUAUCACUGAUGCUGACAGGUCUCGCAGCUAAGAUCAGAUCGGUUCUGCUUUAGACAAAGUUGUAAGGAGAGAAAAUAAAUAUGGAAAAAGUGUCCAAGAGUCCAACUAGAACAAUGAAGGAGUUACAGAGCUCACUGGCAGAAAUAGGAGAACCUGUGAAGACCUCAAUAUCAUCCGGUUUUCACAGAUCUGGCCUCUAUGGGAAAGUGUUCAAAAGCAAAUCACUUUUGAGAAAGGCUAUGUUAGAAAAUCUGGGAGCUUAAGGAAAAAUGAUUUUGUGGUCUGAUGAGACUAAAGCUGAGCCAUUCAUUCAUAUCGGCAUAAAGUUUGGCACAGAUCACAUACAGUCCACCAGGAGGUAACACCAUUCCUGUGAUCACGCAGGUUAGUGGUACUGUAGCACCAUGUUUCAGGGAUUGCUUUUCAGGAAGAACUAGAAAGCUUGUUGCAAUCACAGGCAAAAUGGAUGGAGC